ACAAUCGGCCAGAGGUUGCAGAAAAUAGAGGAUCCCGUCCGCUCUCCUGUACUCAAGCUGCAAACCGGUGGAUUAGUAGUCGAGUGGGUGACCAUCGGCGAAUCCCCACUGCUGAUUGUU
rfam:Hortaea werneckii EXF-2000 unitig_713, whole genome shotgun sequence.